rnacentral:rRNA from 1 species
CCCUUAGAUGUUCUGGGCUGCACGCGCGCUACACUGAUACUUUCAGCGAGUCCACCACCUUGCCUGAGAGGGUGGGGUAACCUCUGGAAAGUGUAUCGUGAUGGGGAUCGAUUAUUGUAAUUAUUAAUCUUCAACGAGGAAUUCCUAGUAAGCAUGUGUCAUAAGCUCGCGUUGAUUACGUCCCUGCCCUUUGUACACACCGCCCGUCGCUACUACCGAUUGAACGGUUUAGUGAGGGCCUCGGAUUGGUCUCGGCCCGCUCUUUACCGGGCGGCGCCGUUGGUCGAGAAGACGCUCGAACUUGAUCGUUUAGAGGAAGUAAAAGUCGUAACA